GACGAACGCUGGCGGCGUGCUUAACACAUGCAAGUCGAACGGAAAGGCCCUGCUUUUGUGGUGUGCUCGAGUGGCGAACGGGUGAGUAACACGUGAGUAACCUGCCCUUGACUUUGGGAUAACUUCAGGAAACUGGGGCUAAUACCGGAUAGGAUCUCCUGCUGCAUGGUGGGGGUUGGAAAGUUUCGGCGGUUGGGGAUGGACUCGCGGCUUAUCAGCUUGUUGGUGGGGUAGUGGCUUACCAAGGCUUUGACGGGUAGCCGGCCUGAGAGGGUGAACGGCCACAUUGGGACUGCGGUACGCACCAGAAUGCUACGGGAGGCAGUAGUGGGGAAUAUUGCACAAUGGGCGGAAGCCUGAUGCAGCAACGCCGGGUGCGGGAUGACGGCCUUCGGGUUGUAAACAGAUUUCGAAUGUGACGAAGAGUGAGUGACGGUAAUGGGUAAAGAAGCCCCGGCUAACUACGUG
rnacentral:rRNA from 1 species